UCCUAAGCUCAUCAUUCAUGGACAGUUUUGGUGUAUCAACAGAUACUUGUGUUAAGCCAUCAUGUUUUAUAUGUACUACUUGUGUACUGUAAGGCCUCUAUUGUGUGCAGGUUGUGGAAUGUUUUGUGGCAUCUGUAAUGCAUGUACCCAGCAUAGACGACUGACUGUUCAAGGAACUGAAGCAGGGGACAGCUUGCUGUGAAAGAUGGGAGCAUUCUUCCUCUGGUCUGGACAAGCCCAUAUUAAGUGGGAGAUGUUCAAUAUCAACCCGAUGCGAGGCAGCAAAUGUGGAAAUGGACGCAAGUCAAGGACAGCUGCAGACAGCAAGAUAAUGAAACUGAUACAGCGAUUGCACUGAAUCACUGAAGAUAUGAGCCGGAAUGCGAACAGUAUACUCGUACAGUUUGGCAGAAUAAACC
rnacentral:lncRNA from 1 species